UCAAGGACGUUUGCGCUCGGUGCGCCGUACCAAGCAUCCGACAGAGACAGAGAGCAACAGUUAGGAAUUACUCGAAUAGUUCGAGAUAUUUGUGUAAAAAUAAUUAUAUACUCGGUUGCAUUCUUUUUCGUCGAAAUAAUUCGAAAAGCUAGCCGAACGAUCCGACGUUUCCUCGAAAAAUGGUAAAUAGUUUCCAAGUAUAUGUGUAUUAUGUAAAACAGGCAAUGAGGUAAUUGAUCGACCGUAUGUUAGAGAAGUAGCGAUCGAAAUGAUCGAUACGUGUCUUCGAUUUCAUCAAAGGCGAGUUUCGUUGGUUUGAUCUGAGCGUUGAAAGGUAAGGAUGGUAUGCUUUUAGGGAUAUUACGUAAACAUCUGGGAAAGAAGCGAUGUGACUGUGUUUUAGGAAGUAGAUAGCUGCGAAAGUUUUAGACCUUUCCCUGGGUUAUGUCCAUAGUGAUCGAUGUCGUUACAUCUGCCUAUGCGAAUAUACUCCGCAAUGUGCAAUAUACCGAUGUAUAUAAGUUAAUAAGUCGCGUUAUUCACAGUAUCUCCAACGAAACAAAAACUUGUAGUAUUUCUUGGAAACAACUGUUAACUUUUCACAAGUUCCUAACCUUAAAUACCCUUCACGCGUUCUAUUCAAAACUUCUCAAUAUGGUUUCUCGAUAGAGCAACAACACCAAAAAAGAAGGAUAUAAAAAUCGGCGCGUAGGAGAGAGAGAAUGUGGCCAGAAUACUACAAGUGUAUACACGAGCGACGAAGAGAGCAAGUAUUAUCGAAUAAGCGGGUGUAAGAGAGAAACGAAGAGACAGAGAAAGCGAGGGUUGCCGGACAGAGACUAGACGCUGCUAGGCCAGCGACUGAGAGAACGAGCAACGAGCGAGAAGGCGAAUGGUCGUACGUGAGUUAAAAGAAGACAGAUAGAGAGUGAAAGAGUGCCUUCUGUCUGCCGCACCCGCGAAUCGACGAAUUCGAGCCACUCGAUCGGCCUCGAGCGGCCUUGGAUGUAUCGCGGCCGGAGUGCAGGGCGGAGCGAGAUUGUUGCUCGUUUUCCAGGGUAUUUCCAUGGUACCUCUUGGAACAAGUUUCCGUCUCUUAACCAAAUGAGCCGAGCGUUUUCGCCAAUGAACGAUUGCCUCCCUCGCAUAUGGAAACAUGGAAAAUAUAGAAGAAAAUAUGGAAAGUGAUAUCUGAAACUGGUAGAUGCGGUGAAGGAUGCUCGGUGCUCGGCGGCCUUGAGGAAUUAAUUGAUUUUGGCCAGACCUAUAGCUUCUUCAACUUGAACGUACUAAAUAAAAAAUACAUUGCGCUGUAAACGUCAAAUUGAAAAUAUCCUAUAAAAAUGCAAAAAUACGUUUCAAUCUUUCUUCUGCUCUUUUUUUAAAUGAAGUUAACAAACGAAUAACAUUAUCAUUUUAAUGUAUCAGCAAUUCACUAAACUGUAAACGAACGUUCUAUGAAUAUGUAAAACUAUAUCGAAAAUCUCUCUUAUCCAUUUCUUUUUUAAACAAAAGAUCGCCAAGUUUUUGUAUAAUUAGAAAGGACAUGCGUACGUCGAUUUUUCAAUUAACCGACGAUUUAAUGGCAAAGUAUCGGCACGGUAUUAGAAAGUAUUCCGAUUGAUCGUGCACGAAUAAAUAUGUACGAUCGAACAUGCCUUCGGCGACGUGCAAUCUCUUAAAAUCCUUACGAAGCCGGUCUCACCGUAGUCAACUUUUACUUCGUUAGAAAAGUCCGGUGUCUAUUCAAGGCCAUCGGGUUAUCGAUCAAAGCCGCGAGCGAGCCUCUAAUAAUACGAAAAACCGAUCCCUUUCAUCAAGCGAAUCGCUUGAAAUUGUAACACAAUAUGCGUCGCGGUUUCUUGCGCGCAGCAACGCGCCCGCGAACACGUCCGCCAACCAACCAGUGUUUAAUUGCACGAUCAAAGAAAUCCUUUGGUUUUAAUGCUGUCGAACAGCUGAAAGCUAACAGCUGUUAGAUGGUGUCGACACCGGUCGAUCGAAUUUUCCGCCAUUGAAUCGAAUUAAUCCGCCACCCGAUUAUCCGUAGAUUAGCGUCGUGUCGUUUUCGUAUCU